rnacentral:rRNA from 1 species
UACGAAGGGAGCUAGCGUUGUUCGGAAUCACUGGGCGUAAAGCGCACGUAGGCGGAUUUGUCAGUCAGGGGUGAAAUCCCGGGGCUCAACCUCGGAACUGCCUUUGAUACAGCAAGUCUUGAGUUCGAGAGAGGUGGGUGGAAUUCCUAGUGUAAAGGUGAAAUUCGUAGAUAUUAGGAAGAACACCGGUGGCGAAGGCGGCCCACUGGCUCGAUACUGACGCUGAGGUGCGAAAGCGUGGGGAGCAAACAGG